UACGUAGGGGGCAAGCGUUGUCCGGAUUUAUUGGGCGUAAAGAGCGUGUAGGCGCCAGACAGGUCCGCUGUGAAAACUCGAGGCUCAACCUCGAGAUGUCGGUGGAAACCGUCUGGCUAGAGUCCGGAAGGGGAGAGUGGAAUUCCCGGUGGUAGCGGUGAAAUGCGCAGGAUAUCGGGAGGAACACCAGUGGCGAAGGCGGCUCUCGAUGG
rnacentral:rRNA from 1 species